AAUUGGUGGUGUAGGGGUAAAAUCCGUAGAUAUCACCAAGAAUACCCAUUGCGAAGGCGAUCUGCUGGAACUCAACUGACGCUAAGGCGCGAAAGCGUGGGGAGCAAACAGGAUUAGAUACCCUGGUAGUCCACGCCCUAAACGAUGUACACUAGUUGUUGGGGUGCUAGUCAUCUCAGUAAUGCAGCUAACGCAUUAAGUGUACCGCCUGGGGAGUACGGUCGCAAGAUUAAAACUCAAAGGAAUAGACGGGGACCCGCACAAGCGGUGGAGCAUGUGGUUUAAUUCGAAGAUACGCGAAGAACCUUACCUGGGCUUGAUAUCCUAAGAACCUUUUAGAGAUAAGAGGGUGCUAGCUUGCUAGAACUUAGAGACAGGUGCUGCACGGCUGUCGUCAGCUCGUGUCGUGAGAUGUUGGGUUAAGUCCCGCAACGAGCGCAACCCACGUAUUUAGUUGCUAACGGUUCGGCCGAGCACUCUAAAUAGACUGCCUUCGUAAGGAGGAGGAAGGUGUGGACGACGUCAAGUCAUCAUGGCCCUUAUGCCCAGGGCGACACACGUGCUACAAUGGCAUAUACAAUGAGACGCAAUACCGCGAGGUGGAGCAAAUCUAUAAAAUAUGUCCCAGUUCGGAUUGUUCUCUGCAACUCGAGAGCAUGAAGCCGGAAUCGCUAGUAAUCGUAGAUCAGCCAUGCUACGGUGAAUACGUUCCCGGGUCUUGUACUCACCGCCCGUCACACCAUGGGAGUUGAUUUCACUCGAAGCCGGAAUACUAAACUAGUUACCGUCCACAGUGGAAUCAGCGACUGGGGUGAAGUCGUAACAAGGUAACCGUAGGAGAACCUGCGGUUGGAUCACCUCCUUUCUA
rnacentral:rRNA from 2 species